UGAUAUGCAGGGGCCCCAG
rnacentral:misc_RNA from 1 species